rnacentral:rRNA from 1 species
UACGUAGGGUGCGAGCGUUGUCCGGAAUUACUGGGCGUAAAGAGCUCGUAGGUGGUUUGUCGCGUUGUUCGUGAAAACUCACAACUCAAUUGUGGGCGUGCGGGCGAUACGGGCAGACUGGAGUACUGCAGGGGAGACUGGAAUUCAUGGUGUAGCAGUGAAAUGCGUAGAGAUCAUGAGGAAGACCAGUGGCGAAGGCGGGUCUCUGGACAGUUCCUGACACUGAGGCACGAAGGCCAGGGGAGCAAACGGG